rnacentral:rRNA from 1 species
CACGUAGGCGGCCCAUCAAGCGCUUUGUGAAAUCCCUCGGCUCAACCGAGGAACUGCUUGGCGAACUGAUGGGCUUGAGGCAGGUAGGGGCGUGUGGAACUCUUGGUGGAGCGGUGGAAUGCGUAGAUAUCAAGAGGAACACCGGAGGCGAAGGCGACACGCUAGGCCUGUCCUGACGCUGAGGUGCGAAAGCCAGGGGAGCAAACAGGAUUAGAUACCCUGGUAGUCC